UACGUAGGGGGCAAGCGUUGUCCGGAAUUAUUGGGCGUAAAGCGCGCGCAGGCGGUUGAUUAAGUUUGGUGUUUAAGCCCGGGGCUCAACCCCGGUUCGCACUGAAAACUGAUCGACUUGAGUGUAGGAGAGGAAAGUGGAAUUCCACGUGUAGCGGUGAAAUGCGUAGAGAUGUGGAGGAACACCAGUGGCGAAGGCGACUUUCUGGCCUAUAACUGACGCUGAGGCGGCGAAAGCGAUG
rnacentral:rRNA from 1 species